rnacentral:rRNA from 1 species
GGACCCGCACAAGUAGUGGAGCAUGUGGUUUAAUUCGAAGAUACGCGCAGAACCUUACCAACACUUGACAUGUUCGUCGCGACUUUAAGAGAUUAAAGUUUUCGGUUCGGCCGGACGAAACACAGGUGCUGCAUGGCUGUCGUCAGCUCGUGUCGUGAGAUGUUGGGUUAAGUCCCGCAACGAGCGCAACCCUCACUUUUAGUUGCCAUCAUUAAGUUGGGCACUCUGAAAGAACUGCCAGUGAUAAGCUGGAGGAAGGUGGGGAUGACGUCAAGUCCUCAUGGCCCUUACGUGUUGGGCUACACACGUGCUACAAUGGUAUCUACAACAGGAAGCAAAACGGCGACGUUAAGCAAAUCCUUAAAGAUUAUCUCAGUUCGGAUUGUAGGCUGAAACUCGCCUACAUGAAGUCGGAAUCGCUAGUAAUCGU